UGGCCUGUGGUACUUGGCUGCUGGCUGGGGUUAAACCACAACACACCCAGAGCUACAGGAGAGGCUUAAGCAGACAAAACUGAAGAGCCAAGAGGUGCUUCCUGUGCCAAGGAUGGGGAGAGAGCCAACCCCCCUGAUCCUCACUUGUGAUUUUACUGGAAGUGGGAAUUGCAAUAAAUCCCUGCCAGUUUGCAGUGCAACACGUUCCUCCUGAUUGAGCCUGAGUGCUUCCUCUCCUUGUGGUGUCAGACUAAAGCUUGUUUUCAGCUUUUUGUUUCAAAGGCUGGACCAGCCCCAUGCUGUUAGUGUGUUUCACAACUGACCUGGUCCCCAGACCUUUGUGAGGAUGCUUUGGUUGUCUUCAAAGUUUGCAUCCUUGGCCUCCCUGCUCUUUGUCCCUGCCUGUGGUCACCCAUGUUCAAAGGAGCUUAAUCCAGACUGAAGACUUAAUCCAGACUGUGCAGAGAAGGGAUGUCAGAAUAACCAGAGUUGAGUCACAUCACUGAGAUGUGACUAGAGGAAUUUAUUUACCUUAGAAAUGCCAGAGUGAGAAGAGAUAUGACAGGUCUCAAUAGAAAA